CCUACGGGGCGCAGCAGUGAGGAAUAUUGGUCAAUGGGCGUAAGCCUGAACCAGCCAAGUCGCGUGAGGGAUGAAGGUUCUAUGGAUCGUAAACCUCUUUUAUAAGGGAAUAAAGUGUGGGACGUGUCCUGUUUUGUAUGUACCUUAUGAAUAAGGAUCGGCUAACUCCGUGCCAGCAGCCGCGGUAAUACGGAGGAUCCGAGCGUUAUCCGGAUUUAUUGGGUUUAAAGGGUGCGUAGGCGGCCUUUUAAGUCAGCGGUGAAAGUCUGUGGCUCAACCAUAGAAUUGCCGUUGAAACUGGGAGGCUUGAGUAUGUUUGAGGCAGGCGGAAUGCGUGGUGUAGCGGUGAAAUGCUUAGAUAGCACGCAGAACCCCGAUUGCGAAGGCAGCCUGCCAAGCCAUGACUGACGCGGAUGCACGAAAGCGUGGGGAUCAAACAGGAGUAGAUACCCGAGUAGUC
rnacentral:rRNA from 1 species